UGGGGAAUAUUGGACAAUGGGCGAAAGCCUGAUCCAGCAAUGCCGCGUGAGUGAUGAAGGCCUUAGGGUUGUAAAGCUCUUUUACCCGGGAAGAUAAUGACUGUACCGGGAGAAUAAGCCCCGGCUAACUCCGUGCCAGCAGCCGCGGUAAUACGGAGGGGGCUAGCGUUGUUCGGAAUUACUGGGCGUAAAGCGCGCGUAGGCGGCUUUGUAAGUUAGAGGUGAAAGCCCGGGGCUCAACCCCGGAACUGCCUUUAAGACUGCAUCGCUUGAAUCCGGGAGAGGUGAGUGGAAUUCCGAGUGUAGAGGUGAAAUUCGUAGAUAUUCGGAAGAACACCAGUGGCGAAGGCGGCUCACUGGACCGGCAUUGACGCUGAGGUGCGAAAGCGUGGGGAGCAAACA
rnacentral:rRNA from 1 species